CCCAAAAUCAUGUAGGUCUUUUCUCUUUACUCGACGUCUGCCUUUUCUCUUCCAUUUUUGGCUAACGUUUCAUUUCUCUUCAGCCAUGGACAGACUUUGCUUGGUCCUUUCCAAGCAAAACUUGUCCCUCUCUCCAAGGUAUCACGUGAUGUCUGUUUCAAGCUUCUAACGUUCGAAUUUGAAAGAUUUUUGACCAAGUUCAAAUGUAUUUCCCGCUCAAGUUGUUAACCCUAGAAGAUCUGGCUAUAAAUAUUGAUGUUUGGAACUUGUUUCAGAAGGAUUUUCGGCCUCCAUAGCACUCUUGGAAUUCAUUUUUAAGACUAGGCUUCUCUUCCCCCCAUAGUAUCUUGAACCACUGCAUUUUGCCAUAAAAAUUAUCUUUUAUACUCUCUUUCGAUCUUGUCGGAAAUUCUAAUUGCAAGCUUAUUUGGGUUCGUCGUUGUUCAAAUAUAGACACUUGAUCGCAGCAUCCCCGUUCACUUCCCUAUAGCAGGUAAUACUCACCCAUUUUACCUUUGUUUCUCACUGCGACUAAAAAAACCUAUGAUUGCUCCUCGAAUUUUAUGUGUCAAGACUGGAGAGUGAUUUUUUACUUUAGCUAUACCGAAAGUAGUGUUAAAAAUGUAUUCGUGUCUUCUUUUAGAGUUGAAGUUAUUCUAUAUCUCCCUGCUGCUCACUGUUUUUAGUUCACAAUAUUUUACCCUGAAAUUUGAAUUCAUCCUUUGUGUUUAUAUCAUCUGAGGAUGGCUACAUCUUAAAGGCUUUGAGAAUGUUGAUGAUUCAUGUCUUUGCCACAAUUCUCCUAAACAUUCCUUGUUUUAAUAAAGGGGGAUUCAUUAUAUUAAUCUUUCCUUAUGCAUAUACUUCUAAUUAUGAUUCUUUUCUCGAUAAAGUGUGUUGGCAUCUUAUAAACCAUGCUAAUGUUUUCCUUAGAAUUUGGAAGUCUGCUUAAAAUAUAGUGUUAAUUUUAUUUUUAGAUGUUCUAUUUGUUAAGUCUUCCAGAAAUCAAAUGUUUAUCUUUGUGUCUAAUAAAGCUUUUAUAUCCUCCUUGUUAGUGUAGUGAUUUAUGUUUGGGUCGUUAAAAUGAAUGGAUUAUUACUAAGCUUUGAAACUAGCUUUUUGUUCACUAUGUUGGUUCAAUUAUUUCCUUAUGGUUAAGUGUUUGAGUUUAGUUAGCUGAAUAUUUAUCGAUUUUUCUUAAUCUCUGCCUUGUUCUAUUUUCCAUAUUAGAUCUUUCAUUUAUUUGUUAGUAUCAUUUCUUAUUGUUACGAGAGCCUUGAAAUUCAUUUCUAUGAAUUGGUAUUUAGUUGUUUUUUAGUUCAAAUUAGCAAAUGUUCGGUUGGAAUUAUUAGUCUGAUCUAAUGCCUGCACCUAUAUCACAUUUAAGCUUACUAAAUUUCAGCUAUCCUUAUAAGCAGCAUAUCCCAUGUAUAAAUUAUGCUCUAUUAUCAUGAUAUCUUCACUUCUUUAAGAUGUGUCCAAUUCUUUAAAGUUGUAGCAUAGAAGCUGAUUUGAUUUGGUGAUGUCAUUCUACCCAUGUCUCUUUAUGUAUUAUAUAGUAUAUAUAUUUGUGGCGUGACUUUAUUUGGAUCUCUUUUGUUCACUAUCAUUUCAAGUUGAAUUGUCUUAUUAAUCUCUCUUUAUUUUCUCUUUCUUUAUUUGCAUGAACUUUGGAGCAAAAUGGAGUCUUUGAUUUAAGACUAGCAAAUUAUCGAGUCUCAUAGACUCAGCAUUAUUCUCACACCCGCACAUGGAGUCUUCACUACAUCUUUGACUAUUCGAAAUUGCAAGCAAAACAAGUGGUCCUAUCUUGGAGUCACAUAUGGCUACUUACAUUUUGCAUUAUUUGUUUAUGUGUUUUUCUUUACAUGCUAUAUUUGCUUGUGUGAUUUAGAUAUUUCUAGUUUGGAUUCAUAAUAGUUGACUUAAUAUAGAUGUUUGGAUUUGGGUACCUUUAGUUAGAAACAAACCUUUAUAGUUACUUUAGCUUUUUAUAAAAUUCAUUUAGAAAA
rnacentral:lncRNA from 1 species